AACGGUCUAUACCUGCGGUACCUGCGGAGGGAUCAUUACUGAGUUUCACAACUCUCUAACCCUGUGUGAACUGAAGUCUGGUUGCUCAGGCAGGCGGCCCCCGGGGGGAGCCGCAGCUUCUCUGAAGCGCCUGCCGGAGGAUACCUAAACUCGUUUUAACAUAUAAUCUUCUGAGUAAUAAAAAAAAAAUGAAUCAAAACUUUCAACAAUGGAUCUCU
rnacentral:misc_RNA from 1 species